rnacentral:rRNA from 1 species
UAUUGUAGAAGUUUAUCAGUACGAAAGGACAGUGAAUUUUUUUAUUGAAUGCGAAUUUGUGGUUGGUUUUGCAAAAACUGAUUAGGGUUGUGGUUUGUGGCCCCGUGUUUUAGUUUGUUUAACUGUGGCAAUAGAAAGUUUUGUUUCAUUGGCUGCAUGAAAUUUGUUUAUUUAUAAUUAGUUUGUUAUGUUUUCUGAUUAUUUUAUCAGCAGUUGAUUUUUUGUUAAGACGUGAGUCUUAUAAGGGUGAUGCAAUUUGAGGGGAUAGGACACAGUGCCAGCAUCUGCGGUUAGUCUGUUUUCUUUGCUUUUAUGUGGAUAGUGCGUGUUUAUUUAUAUUCAAUGUUAGGUUAAAUUUUUUUGUGUUGGUGUUUAGUAAAUAAAUUUUGUGGUGAUAUAUAUGAUGACAGGGAUUAGAUACCCCAUUAAUGUAUUUUUAAAAUGUUGUCCUGGUUUUGUAACUAAAAUGGUUUGGCAGUGAGCGAUUCUUGUUAGGGGAAGAUGCAUAGUAAAGGAUGGUCCACCUAUUAUUUCACUCUUGUUAUGUUGGUGUAUAUCUGGUUUGAUAUUAUCGUUUAAUGGUUUGAGUUUGUGUAGUUUUAGUUAAGCCAAGUCUAUGUGCUGCUUAUGGGAGUUUUUGUGUGUUACAUUAAUAAGGGUAUUGUUGUAAUAUGAUAUUAUUUAGGACUUAAUAGUAAUGUUUAAAUUAGUUUGUUGAUGUGAAAUGAGUUUAGCUCAGG